CAAAGGAGGAGAACGGGCUCGCCUCCUCUCCCUCUCGCUCAAGUCCUCGCCGCCGCCGCCACCACCCACGCCGGCAGCUUCCGGCGAGCUCCGACGCCGCGCAGCACGCCCCCCAACUCCCCAGAGUCCGCUCCUCCCUACCCUCCGGCCAGAUUCUCCGCUCCCGGCCUCUACCGCCCGCUCGAAACGCCACCCCCAUGGCUAGGGUUUCGGGCAGGGCUUCGCCGGCGCGUCUCCGGCGGCCCAGAUGCAGAUGGAGCACGCCAUGGGAAUUCCCCAUCCACCAUGGUCGCCGCCAUCAAGGGCUUCUUCACGGAGAUGUGGAGGACGCCAUGGACCUGCAGCUCCAAGGUCAACAGGGAGGAACCCUAGCCAUAAGCACCUCCUCGGAUGACGCCUCUGCUACACCAAGAUAGAGAUAUAUAUGAUAUCUACAUGGCUGCUAUGCUACUUUUUUUGUGUGAUGAAUCAUUGUGAGUUUCGAAGAAACUUCCAAUGUUACCUCCGCCAAGUUUGCCGGCAGAAGAAGCACAUCCAUUGAGCCGUUCAAUGUCGCCUGCGGUGGCUACACCAGAGGUAUGUAUCCCCUUGAAAGCUAAUCAGUUGAUAGAAAUAGAAGCCCCUAUUUCAGUUUAUUGUUUCUGAAUUGGUGCUACUUCUGAUGGCUCUUGUUUCAGUUUAUUGUUUCUGAAUUUAUACUUUGAAUUUAGUAGAUAGAAGCCCCUGAAAUUUGACCCAUCUAUGUUAUGUCACAUC